GUGGGGAAUAUUGGGCAAUGGGCGAAAGCCUGACCCAGCAACGCCGCGUGAAGGAAGAAGGUUUUCGGAUUGUAAACUUCUGUCCUCAGGGAAGAAGGAAGUGACGGUACCUGAGGAGGAAGCCCCGGCUAACUACGUGCCAGCAGCCGCGGUAAUACGUAGGGGGCGAGCGUUGUCCGGAAUGACUGGGCGUAAAGGGCGCGUAGACGGCUGUCUAAGUCUGGAGUGAAAGUCCUGCUUUCAAGGUGGGAAUUGCUUUGGAGACUGGAUGGCUUGAGUGCGGAAGAGGUAAGUGGAAUUCCCAGUGUAGCGGUGAAAUGCGUAGAGAUUGGGAAGAACACCAGUGGCGAAGGCGACUUACUGGGCCGUAACUGACGUUGAUGCGCGAAAGCGUGGGGAGCGAACAGGAUUAGAUACCCUUGUAGUCC
rnacentral:rRNA from 1 species